GAGCUUUCAGGGGUUUCUUGGGUCUCUGCCUGCCAUUUCUCCUGUAGAAGCCCUGGAAUCACAGACAUGUGCCAGCCCUCCUGUGUCCGGCUUCAUGAAGGCUCUGCGAUCUGGAUGAGGUCAAACUUCUGUCCUUUGGAGGACUGAAGGAGGACGUCUCCUGGCUCUGUGGGAACCUGGGGAUCUGGCUUCUCUUUACACAGAUUGAGUUGGUUGAAUUUCUGUGCCCUGGACAGCUAGAACAAACCUGCUUGAAGACUGAAGGUUUUUUGUUUGUUUGUUUUGUUUUGUUUGAGACGGGGUCUCGAUAUGUUUAGUCGUAGCUGGUCUCAAACUCACAGAGCUCCAUCUGUCCUGCCUCUGACACGCUAGGAUUAAAGGUGUGCACCGCCAUGUCCUGCUCCAGUUUGAAUAGCAGGAUGACCGAAGCCCUUGUGUGGACCCACGAAUUGAAACAUCUGCCACCAUCACCCAUCCAUCACAGACUGAUAAGUGACUUCUUCCUUGGAGUAGAAAGGAGCCACCCUAUAAAUUGAUUGGGAUAACCUGAGACUGUAGGGUCAUGUGGGCAUAUUAAAACUCUACUGGGAAAAUCAGGCUCAAGAACGUAUCAGACACGCCAGGCCAAGGAAAGGAAUGAUUCCUUUACCAUCACCCAUAAAGUAAUGGAUACCUAACACGUCAAUGACAUGGCCCCACAACA